UGGGGGAGCUUUUAACGGGGGGGGGGGGGUGCAGGCUGCCGCUCGAGCUGGCACAAUGUGGCGGCUGUGGGCACCACUCCCUGGCUGCUGUGCCAGUCACUUUGUGCUGUUCACAUGUGGCCUGACUGCUCUCCCCCCAGCAAUGCUGACCCGACCGUACUGCGCUGCUGUGAAGGCACAGCCUGUGUCACUGCGGCUGGGCAUGAGCUUGCGUAGCGCUGCUUCCCCCACUGCUAGGCGAGGCUGGUUAGGCCUUCCCAGGGAAGGGGUGGGGACAGCCAGAGUUCACGGACUAGGCCUGGACAUAAGCCAGGUCACCUGGCCUUGCCUAGAGGGCAGUGUGCAGAGGUGGUGAGGGGAUCAGAGUUGCUCAGCUGCUGCAAUGCUGGCCUGGCCCCUGCUGCUGCCACUUAGAUUCCGUCCCCCAGGAGCACUGGGGCUGAAAUCGGAAGCAAUCCCUAUCCAGGGACAAUUGUAGCAAGAACAGAAGCACUGGGAAGCAGCUGCUGGUUUCGUUUCUGUAGCGGUGUGUGGUGAGGUCACGGGACCUGCUGGCGUGCGAGGGGCUUGGCCCUGGUGUGUCGCAGCCAUUGGUGGCGCUGCUCUGUCCCAUCUGCUGCGUGAGCCAGUGUUAGCUGCUGCAAGGGAAAGAGCCGCCACUGAGGAGAGUAGCGAACGGCACGGAAGCAAAGGAUACAGAGCCAGGGAGAGUGAAUCCACAGCACGUGGGUGCAAGGUGGGACGAUGUGUCUGGGCCAGUGGAAGUUAGUGGGAAUCCAGGGCAUGUGAAUAGCUAAAACCUCAGGGUAGCCCCAGGGGCUUUGCCUUCCCCUGCUUGUUUUUACAGAACCCCCAGCCCACCAGCUUUGUGCACUGCUGCUCCACUGGCCUAGUUCUCCGGGAUGCGAAUGGCCAUGGAGCGAAGCGCUGCCCGGCUUGCUGGGUUGCCAUUGGCAAGCGGUUUCUGAGGUUCACUGAGUUUUGAUCUGAUCGCACAGGAAGAGCCGGGUUUCACUGCUACAGAAAUGAAAUCUGGGCCCUAUCCAGGCAUGUUGUGUGGCAGGCCCUGCUAAAUAGCCUUCUGGAAAACCCUUCCUCUGCUGCAAGACAGGAGGGCACUCCUCUCCGCAAGCGAUGCGAGCUUGCUCAAUUGCUGGGAGGCUGAGGUCCGGCCCCUCUAGCUAGUCUAGCUAUGGCACUCAUUGCCAGCUUGCCCCGGGACAGAUAUGAUUCAGCAAUGCUGCCACCCCAGGCAAAGCAGUCCCGGGUACUGGCAUUUCCCUCCCCCUGACCGCUGGUACCUGUAGAUUGCCUCCCAGGCCGGGUGCUUAGAAGAAAACUUGGCUCUUACAUUGUGGCAGUUUCUCUAUGGGGCUGCUGCUUCGACCUGCCCCCUGCGCUAUAUAACACGCCCUGUGGGGAAGGCAGGGUCGGGCACUGUUGAUGCCUUCCUGGAGUAGGGAAACGGGGAUUCAGUGUCAGAUGGAACAGGGCUAAUGAACAGCCUCUGUUCUCCUCUCUGCCCUCUGUAUUGCUUGAACAUAUCUAGUCUCUGACUGUCCAACUUUUCCUCCCAGGUGAUGAGUUCCACCAACGGAGAACUGAACACGGACGACCCAACCGCAGGACAUUCGAAUGCCCCGAUCACGGCGCCUGCCGAGGUGGAGGUAGCGGAUGAUACAAAGUGCUGCUGUUUCUUCAAGAGGAGGAAGAGAAAAACCAUCCAGCGCCACAAGUGAUCUGCCAGGGACAUAACGGAUCAGUUUGUGCAGUAUCGCCUUUAACUCUGGCUACGGAUGGGUCUAGAUUCCUGAUCAGAUCUGCAAGGCCUUCCCUCCCUCUGAUUUGGAUGGGGGUGGAGGAAGAGCCAUCAUGACUUCGCAGCCUAGCACCACAUGUGUGGAUGGGGAGGGGGGGAGGGAAGUUCCCAAACUGCUUUGCUUUUCCUCCACCAGCACCACAUCCACCCAGUGGUCGUUUACCCAGUCAGACUUUGCCGCCGUUCCCAGGCCUGUCUGUCGUGCAGUCCAUGGAGAGCAUUAAGCUAUUUAACAAGGAAACCAACCAACCAAACCCACGACGUGAAUUUCUUUUGAUUCUAUUAACUAGUUUGAAAAUGGGGAUCAACUCUACAGACUCAAAAAACAUUGCUGGCGUAAAAGAAGCCGAAGACAAUUUCAAGGGGGGUGGGCUAUGGAGAAUUUUUUUCCCUGUCGCUUCUUUAUCGCCGAAGUUAAUUUAAGUCUCGGUGCAGAGUGCUGAGUUGUCAGUCUUUGACCUUCCUCUUUUUAGUGUUAUGAAAUUCUGCUUUUCUUUUAAAGAUUGUGUUUUCCCUGUAAGCUCCCCGUCCCCAUUUGGUUAAAGCUCUUUCCUUGUGGUGGCGAUCAAUCGCUGUGUUAGCCGAGUCUCUGGUACGGUGAUGCGUGGAGGAGGGACUCGUUUACACUUUCGUUUUACGAUGCACUUUUGCUAGCAAUACAAGCGAUGUUUGGUCUUGAAA